AAAAUAGAAAAUAUUUUUGAAAGAUAAUAUAGAAUACAAAGAGUGUUUAUACAUGAUUUUUGUUUAACCUCAAAACGAUUAUUCCAGAUUCACGAGUCAUGAUUGUGCAAGUUUUUCUUAAUCACAACAUCUGAACACAUACAGAAGUAUAUAAUUUUUAAGCAAAACGUUUAAACAUCUAAUUUUUCAUAUAUAUGUUAUUUUUUUUUUAAAUUUUUUAUAAUUUGGCAAAGCAUUACUCACCUAAAGCUAAAUUUCAAAAAGGAUUGGGUUAAUUUUUUUACAUGUUUUGCUGUAUUUAACUUUUUCUUUUUGUUGUACUUCAUAUUGCACGCCCAAAUUUGAAUAGAUAAGUUGAAAUCCAUUACGAAAAGAACAAAAAUUGAGAAUUCCUCUUUCAAAUUACAAGGGGGUAAGAUUCGAUUUCAGUCUUCAGAACUCUUGGAAUCAAACGUAUUACCAAUACCACUAGGUUACCGACUUACCGUAUGUAAGUAAGGGCAUUCCGUCGAUUUUGGUCGAGAAAUAUACUUCUACUACAGUAUUAUUCUGCGCGCCAAAACAUCCCAAAAUUUCAGAGCGAAAGCCAAAGCAAAAUAUUUUAGGGAUUUCGUCGUCUACUUUCUCUCUUCGCCUACAGCUUCAAUGGCUGUUUUCAAAGUCCAAUUUAGCAGAUUAACAAUGGAAAUUAUGCUCGAAGAAUAUUGUCUUUUUGCGAUUUAUUCAAGGAGGUGCAUCAAUGAAGUAUUUUUUCGCGAAGUCCUUCAAACAUCAACGUCAUGCAAUAUAUCUCAAUUUGGCUGAAAUUAGAUUGAAGUCUCAUUUUGAAGCUUCAUAUGCUAAUAAUGUCUUUGGAAAGUGAUACAUGGCCACUCUUGGAUUUCUAUUAGGAGACUGCUUAUAUGUUUUGUCAUUGUUUUCCCAUUCUGUGCUAUCUGUUUGUAAUUAGUUGGGCUGAUUAGAUGUUCCACAAAUGGUUUGGGCUUUGCAUUGUACUAUUUUGAUGUAUGCUGCCCAACGAUGGUUAGUUUUUUCUUUGUUUUAAAUUUUUAAUUGAAGUAGUCCUUUAGCCGUAAAUAGUAAAGCACAAGAAGAGAUAUAUGGACUAUUUUCAGAUAGAAACUGGGUUUAAGGGUAUCACUAGCCACUUUUUGGGUAAUUCAAGUGAUGGUUUUACGUUAGAUUUCACACAGGAGCAGAUUUGAUUUAUGAGUUCCCACUUGUCUAUUCGACAUGUACUAUAAAUGUAAUGUGACAACAUUUUUAUCUACACGGUAUGUUAAUGAGCUUGCAUCUGAGUGAAGUUAGAUAUAAA